rnacentral:lncRNA from 1 species
AAGAGAGGCUCUAAUUGUUUACUAGGUAUGUAAGUUAAACAAAAUGUAUAUUGUUUAAUGAGUUAAAUGCUUUAUUCUAUUUUGCAUAUUACAUCAUAUACUUCAAAACCUGACAUUUUGCAUUCCGCACUUUUAGCGAACCGACACAUAACACCCUCCGACCCAAAAUUCGUAGCUAAAAGUGACAGAUUUUGCACUUUUAGUGACGGAUUUUGGGUCAGAUGGUGUUAUGUGUCGGUUCGCUAAAAGUGCGGGAUGCAAAAUGUAAUAUUUUGAAGUAUAGAAUGCAAUGUACUAAAUGGGUUUAACUUGGGGAUGCAAAGUUCAUUCAACUCUUGUUUAAUUAGUGUUUUUUUUAUUUCAUCAGUAAAGUGUUUUGUGUUAAAUGUUGAAUUGCUAUUCCCACUAAUAAAAAUGUUUAAAAUUAAUUUUUGUUAGUAUAGUGUAUUGUGUAGCGUUUGAUUAGUUGAAAUAUGUGAUUUUGAUUUCUUUCUCAGUGUAGUGUAGUGUUUGAUGUAUAGUAUUUUUAAUUUUUUUUUGCUGUGACCGUGGUUUGGUCACGACGGAGUAUGACAGGUUCCUUUCCAUUUGUAUAGUCUACUGUUUAAGGUUUGAUUAAUUGAAAGAUGGGUUUUUGAUUAUGGAGUAUUACCUUGUGUUCGUGUUUGUGCUUUUCCUUCGUGGUGCAGCGGUAGAUAUAAUUUUUAUUUUUUUGUUGUGACCAUAAUUUGGUUCCCUUUUAUUGUUUGGUUCCUUCAAGUUUUGAAUAUGGAUUUGAAAGUUGUAUAUCUAAUUACAAUGGUUAUUUGAAAUACUUUUUUCGAAUGUCGGUAUGACGUGGCACACGUGGCAGGUCUGACGUGAUAUUUAACAACAUGAGCAUAUUUUCCUUUCUCCUGUCUGACGUGAUAUUUAACAACAUGAGCAUAUAUUCCUUUCUUCUCCUUCACUACAUACCAUAACUAAUUGCGUGACAACAACAACAAAAUAUGUGGGUUGUGAUUAUAUAUGUGGGUUGUAUACCUAGUAUUUGGUCGUAAAUAAAUUAAUAUCUCAGGUUUUGAUAUAAAUAUUAAUUAUUGCAAAAUAUUAAUAGUUGAUCAGUGUUGCUUCAGCGGCCAUAUGACCAAAAUUCCAAAUAUGAGAUUGUGAGUCCAAAUAUUAGAAAAAUUCAGUGGUCGACUUUGCAUUUAACCCACCUCUCAUAUGCUACUGGUAUCUCAAGUUAUUUUAUCUUCAUCUUUGUGCUACUAGUAUCUCAUGUCAGUGCUAGCUAGUGAUAUAUGUGGAUUUGAAUAAAAAAAUUAUUUUCUCCAUUUAGUUCCCGCGGACAAGCAAAUGACGGGACGGUUCACGGGUUUAACUUAUUUUAAGUGAGUUUAUCAUUUAACACUAUUUUUUUGUAAGUUCGUAUAUAUAUAUAUUUGUGUGUGUGUGUGUGUGUUGAAUGUAAUGACAAUUGGUUCUUAUAUGUGAUUUUAGUUUAGAGUAUGUUGAUUGAAUGAAGAAAGGGGGAGCCAAGCUGACCGUUUCAGAUAUAAGUAUAUGAUAUACAUAUUAUUUCUAACAUAAUAAUUUGAAAAAAUCAUACUAAAUUGUUUAUUCAAUUUUUUGAAGGGACUAAAAAGGCUAGUGAGGUUUGGAGAUCUCUCACACUAAAAAGCCUCACAAUUGAGGAGCGUGCAACGGACAGCCCAUCUAAGCCAACAAGGAAGAAGAAAGUGCCGGUACUUACCCAAUUUGAAUGUUUAUGUCAAGAUGUGUUUUAUCUCAUUGUAACAUUUAUUUGAAUGUUUUAUUUAAUAUUUUACGAAUGGAUCCCAAACUAUUUUAUAGUUUUAUCAAUCUUACAGUUUGUUGGGUCAUGAUACUUUUCGUAUUGGGCCUGAUUGAUUAGGUUCCUACCUCAGACCAUGGUACUUUAGGCGUUGGGCCAAAUCGAAUGGGCUCCUCCCUUGGACCAUGUUUAUUAUGUCUUAAGUGUAUUGGGUCUCUGAUUUGGGCUGACCCACUGGACAAAUAAUAUUUACUUUUUGGGUUUUGACCGGUAAUGAUGAAAGAAUAUGACUGUUGACUAUCUUAUCUGCAAAACAUUAAUGUGGAUGGGAAUGUGACAGUUGACUAUCUUAGUUGCACUACUCUCAAUAUUGAGUAGUUAAUGUAUGCACUUACCAAAAAUUUAUAUGUUUACAUUUGUUGCAAAUGUUUGAUUCUUAUUGCAGCUUUUUUUAUUUUGACACAGUGUUACGUGAUAUUGUACCUGAUAGCGGGGAAGAUUGUGUGCCAUCGCAUUGGACGAAUAAAUAUAUUGCCCAACGAAUAGAGAAGGAGAAACUAGUAAAAGAAGAUGCGAGUUAAGUAUUUUCAUGUAUUUUAUUUUUAUGUAAUGAAAGCAAUGAAUGAUGACAACUAAUAAUAUUUUAUUUCGAUGCAUGUAUGUCAGUUGUUAGAUGCUCUAAACGUAGUGGCGGAUGCCAUUGCUAAUGUUAAAAGCUAGCAACGGCUUCUACGUUUAUUGAGAAGGAUGAAGAGGAAGCCGAGGAGGAAAGAACAGAAAAGGAAGAAAUGAGGAGAAGGGAGAGGUAGAAGGAGAGGAAAAAGAGGAAGAAAAAGAAAAGGGAGAGGAAAAAAAGGGAAAAUUGGGGACAGACGCAGAGGAUGUUCAAAUGGGGGAACGAUUCGAAUAUUAUCAUGAAGAAAUGGGGGCAGACUUUGACAUGACUCUCCACUAGGCAUGAGACUAUGACCGAAAAUGUCAGUUUGUAGCGCAAUGAGUAAGUAUAGACUGAGGAGGAGUCAGAUUGCCAAAAUGAGUCGGCAACUGUCGAGCCCAUACGUUGGUGAUCCCCAGCUUGUUGCGAGUCAAUUAAGUGAUGAGGAGCGGACAGUUUAUCUAUAUUGCUUGAUGAAGUUUUUACCUAAUGAUUCGAGAAAUAAGUAAGCAUUCAAUUUGUUGAUUGCAUGUUAGUAUUGUAAGAUGGUUAUUUUUAAUGUUUCAAGCAUAAGGAAUGCACUUUGAUGGACUUGUAAGUUGUUUCUUGUGUGAAGCUGCCUUUCUAGUGGUCUUUAAACAUUCGUUUCAGUUUGUGAAAGACUUUUAUUUUUCAUAGGUCGUCGUAAAAUUUCGUUCCCAAUUUGUUGGCGGGAAAAAAAUAAUUUCCUGCCUACUUAAUUUUUUGUUGCCGAUGUGAUCUCCUCAU